CCCGGUGCUACUAGCGAGGUGGCCACACCUGUUCCCAUCCCGAACACAGAAGUUAAGCACCUCAGCCCCGAUGAUACUCUUUGGGGAAAGUAGGACAGUGCCGGGU
rnacentral:rRNA from 1 species